AUACGAAGGGUGCAAGCGUUAAUCGGAAUUACUGGGCGUAAAGCGCGCGUAGGUGGUUCGUUAAGUUGGAUGUGAAAGCCCCGGGCUCAACCUGGGAACUGCAUCCAAAACUGGCGAGCUAGAGUAUAGCAGAGGGUGGUGGAAUUUCCUGUGUAGCGGUGAAAUGCGUAGAUAUAGGAAGGAACACCAGUGGCGAAGGCGACCACCGGGGCUAAUACUGACACGGAGGUGCGAAAGCGUGGGGAGCAAACAGGAUUAGAUACCCUGGUAGUCCACGCCGUAAACGAUGUCGACUAGCCGUUGGGAUCCUUGAGAUCUUAGUGGCGCAGCUAACGCAUUAAGUCGACCGCCUGGGGAGUACGGCCGCAAGGUUAAAACUCAAAUGAAUUGACGGGG
rnacentral:rRNA from 1 species